rnacentral:rRNA from 1 species
UUAGGUGACUAUAUCGAGGGUGUACACCUCUUCCCUUUUCGAACAGAGAAGUUAAGCCCCUCAGAGCUGAUGAUACUUGGGUAAGACCUGGGAAAGUAAGACGUCGCCAUUU